rnacentral:rRNA from 1 species
UACCAGCACCCCGAGUGGUCGGCACGAUUAUUGGGCCUAAAGCAUCCGUAGCCGGUUCUACAAGUCUUCCGUUAAAUCCACCUGCUUAACAGAUGGGCUGCGGAGGAUACUAUGGAGCUAGGAGGCGGGAGAGGCAAGCGGUACUUAGUGGGUAGGGGUAAAAUCCGUUGAUCCAUUGAAGACCACCAGUGGCGAAGGCGGCUUGCCAGAACGCACUCGACGGUGAGGGAUGAAAGCUGGGGGAGCAAACCGG